rnacentral:misc_RNA from 1 species
GAUUAUGAUAAUGCGGUUUGUGUUCCGAGAGCACCAACUUUACAUCAACAUCCAUCGUUUUAAAACUACUAAGGAAAGAGAACACUGAAAGGAUUGGGUCCAUCUACUCCCAAGGAAAAGGGUACGGGCUACACUAACAGGAGACAACAACGAACAACAUACAGAGAAGAAACAGUCUAAUGUAUAUGAAUCUACUCCCCCACCUCAAGAUGCAUCUGAUGACCCAAAGGAAGGUAACACCCAGCCAUUUCCUUUGGCGUGCUCCACAUAGAACAUAAACUUAUCCUUUGCAUUCGGAAUGUCAAGAGCCAGAUCGUCAAGCCCAUCCUUGAUCCUCCCAAAGCCUUUAGUCAUCUGGUUAAUGGUGAUAAGCCCCUCACUGAAGCACUCUUGCAGCAAAUCCAGCAUCCUGUCAUUCUUCUUCUCCAUUGCCAUAACCAAAGCUUUCUUCACUACCUCAUGAUUGAAGAAUGGCAUCCCCAUAUCUCGUAUGCAUUGGCAAGCUUCACUCAUAACACCACCACUUUCAAAUUCCUCGAGAAGCUUUUGAAUUUUAUCCUUUGCAUCCUCAACAGCCCAGCCAGUCCCACCACCCCAACACCUAAGAAUCCUCUCUCCAGCAUGGCGUGCAGAUAGAAGUGAUUGAGCCAUGCAGACAGUCUCAGCACCACUGCUACAAUUUGGUGGCAACCUGCUCGUUAUCUCCUCCAAAUUCAGCGGAGCAAGGACAUCAUCUAUUACAGCCCUAGCAACAAAAAGUGCUAGUUCAUUGGAAGCAUCCAAAAU